AUUGAACGCUGGCGGCAGGCCUAACACAUGCAAGUCGAGCGGAUGAAGGGAGCUUGCUCCUGGAUUCAGCGGCGGACGGGUGAGUAAUGCCUAGGAAUCUGCCUGGUAGUGGGGGAUAACGUCCGGAAACGGGCGCUAAUGCCGCAUACGUCCUGAGGGAGAAAGUGGGGGAUCUUCGGACCUCACGCUAUCAGAUGAGCCUAGGUCGGAUUAGCUAGUUGGUGGGGUAAAGGCCUACCAAGGCGACGAUCCGUAACUGGUCUGAGAGGAUGAUCAGUCACACUGGAACUGAGACACGGUCCAGACUCCUACGGGAGGCAGCAGUGGGGAAUAUUGGACAAUGGGCGAAAGCCUGAUCCAGCCAUGCCGCGUGUGUGAAGAAGGUCUUCGGAUUGUAAAGCACUUUAAGUCGGGAGGAAGGGCAGUAAGUUAAUACCUUGCUGUUUUGACGUUACCAACAGAAUAAGCACCGGCUAACUUCGUG
rnacentral:rRNA from 1 species